rnacentral:misc_RNA from 1 species
GAUGAAGAACGUAGCGAAAUGCGAUAAGUAGUGUGAAUUGCAGAAUUCCGUGAAUCAUCGAAUCUUUGAACGCACAUUGCGCCUUCUGGUAUUCCGGAAGGCAUGCCUGUUCGAGAGUCAUUAACAACCGUUUCGAUCCCUUUCUUUCAGAAAUUACAAAGAGGAAAAGGGUUUGGUUAUGGUGGAGGAGGGAAAGGGAGCGUUUAGCCUGUAAAAAAAGAGGCUGUGUUCCGCCUCCCCCCCAAAAUUGUACAGGCGGUCGUGUGCGCCCACGCAUCGAGGUGUUGUAAAAGCUGCCACGGCACUUUUCACCUGUGCAGUGCGAGAUUGGCCGGCCGGUUUAAAAACCCCUCCAAACAAUCAAAGGUUGACCUCGGAUCAGGUAGGGAUACCCGCUGAACUUAAGCAUAUCAAUAAGCGGAGGA